rnacentral:tRNA from 1 species
AAGACACUAGUAAAGUGUUAAUUACAAUGCCUUGUCAAGGCAUAAACGUGGGUUAAACCCCCGCGUGUCUUA